rnacentral:rRNA from 1 species
UACGGAGGGUGCUAGCGUUGUUCGGAAUCACUGGGCGUAAAGGGCGUGUAGGCGGUCUGUUAAGUCUGAUGUGAAAUCCCCUCGCUCAACGAGGGAACUGCGUCGGAUACUGGCAGACUUGAGUACCGGAGAGGAAGGUGGAAUUCCCGGUGUAGCGGUGAAAUUCGUAGAUAUCGAGAGGAACACCGGUGGCGAAGGCGGCCAACUGGACGAGUACUGACGCUGAGACACGAAAGCGUGGGGAGCAAACAGG